GACGAACGCUGGCGGCGUGCUUAACACAUGCAAGUCGAACGGAAAGGCCCUGCUUUUGUGGGGUGCUCGAGUGGCGAACGGGUGAGUAACACGUGAGUAACCUGCCCUUGACUUUGGGAUAACUUCAGGAAACUGGGGCUAAUACCGGAUAGGAGCUCCUGCUGCAUGGUGGGGGUUGGAAAGUUUCGGCGGUUGGGGAUGGACUCGCGGCUUAUCAGCUUGUUGGUGGGGUAGUGGCUUACCAAGGCUUUGACGGGUAGCCGGCCUGAGAGGGUGGACGGCCACAUUGGGACUACGGUACGGCCCAGACUCCUACGGGAGGCAGCAGUGGGGAAUAUUGCACAAUGGGCGGAAGCCUGAUGCAGCAACGCCGCGUGCGGGAUGACGGCCUUCGGGUUGUAAACCGCUUUCGCAUGUGACGAAGCGUGAGUGACGGUAAUGGGUAAAGAAGCACCGGCUAACUACGUG
rnacentral:rRNA from 1 species